CUCUCGAGCAAAAUGGCGCCCUCCUAUAAUUCACUUCUGCUCAGGAUGGUGGCGCCGUGUAGUGCGCGGUGGGAUGUAAAAUAAUAAGACCUCAUGGUCUCCUCCGCCGCGCAACAUAAUUUGGCAACACCUUACAAAUACAUUCCGAAACCAACACGCCCGAGUAUUUAAAAAAGGCUCCUCACGGUUGGGGCAUGAGGUCUAAGAAGCGGAAGAAAGUGCACGGCCCAUUCCCAUAAGGAUCGCCUAGCGUCUUCACUGUCCCUACGUGGCUCAGCGUGAACCCCGCCCUUUCCGCUUGGUGGCUUGGAGGGCAACGGAGAGGGAGCGUAAUUUCGUGGGCGCAACUCUGCGUCACACACCCUCGGCAGAAGUUAUGCCCGCAGCCAAUGGACACGGGAUCCUUGAAGUAAUCCAGGCAGAUGGCGCACACCGCUUCCUCCUGAAGUGUCUGCAAGGCGUUGGGAGCAGCGGCAUAGCCAGCCAUCUUAACGCGCUGCCGGUUGGUAUGGAUGCGUCAGCUCACAGCUGAGAAGCAGGGGACACACCUGCAGGCCUGCCUCCAAGCUACGCUGGUGAUCCAAAGCUGUCCCCAACCCUGCUCUGCCUACUCGGGCCCUCAGAGAAGCCUUGCUCCACUCUCUCAGACUCUCCCCAGCUUUAAGUGCGAAAGCCCCAGGCCCGAACUCACAGCUGCCCUCGGAAGGCAGUGGGGGUGGAACCAGGCUGCGGCCCCCACUUCCCUUCGAAACUCAGCGUGCAAACUCAGCUCUCUCCACGUUUCUCGCCUCCCUCCCGGUUUGCCUGACCCGGCGGCGUCCACCUCAGGCGUCCACCUCAGAAGCCGGCGCUCCUCACCCCGCCCUCCCGGUUUGCCUGACCCGGCGGCGUCCACCUCAGGCGUCCACCUCAGAAGCCGGCGCUCCUCACCCCGCCCUCCCGCUUUGCCUGACCCGGCGGCGUCCACCUCAGGCGUCCACCUCAGAAGCCGGCGCUCCUCACCCCGCCAGAGGUGACCGAAAAUGACGUAGGCGCGUUAACCCACACUCGAGAGGGGGCGGACUGGGCGGAUGGAGGGCCACCUCUCUAUGGUUUCCCCCGGCGACGCGCCCCCCGGAAACCCCUGCAGCCCAUCCAGCCGCCUCAGACAGGAAAGACGGCCUGGUCAGAAUGGGUGGAGGCUGCGAGAGAAUCAGUUUAAGCCACUGAGCGCCCUAAUCAGCCAGACGCAGAGGGUCCAACAGCCGCUCAGAAAACCCCGUCCCCAGAUGGACCCAAAAGGGUGGGGACUGCGGUGGCCGACCUCUGGUGCUCUCGUGCACUUCCGGCCCCUCUACCCAGAGGCCUUUGUGGUAGGGAGGAUUCUAUCUUCACUGCUGCAGCGCUCGAGGGCGUGGUCUGUAGCAACCUGGUGGGAUCGAGCUCGCUGCGCAGUUGGGUGGCGGUGAGCUCAAAGAAUCUCGCGUGAAGACUUGGGUGCUUCCAACUUUCCUCAGACCAAUUCACCCCUUUCUUGCUGCCUGCCCUCAGCAGGCACCAACUUCGCCUGUGGAUCUUUUUACCUCCAUCUAUAAUCCUUCCAUUAACCAUCCAUGCAUGCAUCCACCCGCCCAAAUAACCAUUCAUUUUUCAUCCAUCCCUCUCUCUCCAUCCAUCCAUCAUAUGCAUGCAUAACCCAUCCAUCCAUUUAUCCAUCCACUUUCAUCUAUCCACGUUAUAGGAACAAAAAAAUGAGUAAGGCAUGAUUGUUCCUUCAAGGAGUAUAGAGUUAUAGGCGAGCGGUCGUCCUUCACUGAAGGUUCACAAGGUUUAUUUUUUUCUUUUUUUAACUUGACCCUCAGUAAGAAGUACAUUGCACAUAUUUAUCCAAUGCAGACUUGCACAUAUAUGACAGAAACAAAACUGGGGGAAAUUGUUCGUUUCCUUAGGGCGUUCAAGUCACUCUGGUAUGUUCUGUUUUACUUCAAUAAGAUGCUGUUCAACACCCAUUGGAGUGAUUGCACCCCUCAAUAAUUGGUCACUUUGGUUUGAGGAACUCCACCUGCCCUAAUGGAAACUUCAACGAGCCCUGGAUCCCUUCCUUUCCCUCUCUGGGCCCAAACUUGGACUCUAAGUCCCACAGAGCAAGAAUGGUAAACGUGCUAUUCAACACUGUACACAUAGCUAGCUCCUCUGUCAUAGUGCUGAACAUAUAGCGAGUACUCCCUACAUAUCUGCUGAGUAAAUAAAUGAAACCCAACAAAUUGCUA